UUUUUGGCAUCUUUACUGUAUGGCCUCAGAUCAUCCUGAAUCUCUUACAUUCUGUCUUCUUUUCUGUGGUGUUUACAAGAUGUGGGCAAAAGACAGGAGAAAAAUCUAAGCCACUUUUCCAAAAAUAAAGAUGGAAACUAAGGGAUCUCAUAUCAACAAUAAAAGCCUGGAAAGGAGCUCCAUCAAGUAGUAGGUGACUAGACGACACAUCUUCAGGAAAACUUUUGAGAACAAGCUGGCCCAGUUAUUUUGGCAAUCUUUGUGAUCUUUGGAUUCAACAUGAGAAAUCAAAAGAUGAACUCAAAUACUGAGCAGGCUGGAAUCCUUGAAAUGCCUCCUUUGAGGUAUAAAAUAUAGUAACAAUGAAUGAAUAA